rnacentral:rRNA from 1 species
GAUGAACGCCGGCGGUGUGCCUAAUACAUGCAAGUCGUACGCACUGGCCCAACUAAUUGAUGGUGCUUGCACCUGAUUGACGAUGGAUCACCAGUGAGUGGCGGACGGGUGAGUAACACGUAGGUAACCUGCCUCAUACAGGGGGAUAACAGUUGGAAACGGCUGCUAAUACCGCAUAAGCGCACAGUACCGCAUGGUAUUGUGUGAAAAACUCCGGUGGUAUGAGAUGGACCCGCGUCUGAUUAGGUAGUUGGUGGGGUAACGGCCUACCAAGCCGACGACCAGUAGCCGACCUGAGAGGGUGACCGGCCACAUUGGGACUGAGACACGGCCCAA